UAAUGCUUGGGAACUUGCCUUUGCGAGGGGGAUAACAGUUGGAAACGACUGCUAAUACCGCAUAAUGUCUUCGGACCAAACGGGGCUUAGGCUCCGGCGCAAAGAGAGGCCCAAGUGAGAUUAGCUAGUUGGUAAGGUAACGGCUUACCAAGGCGACGAUCUCUAGCUGUUCUGAGAGGAAGAUCAGCCACACUGGGACUGAGACACGGCCCAGACUCCUACGGGAGGCAGCAGUGGGGAAUAUUGCACAAUGGGGGAAACCCUGAUGCAGCCAUGCCGCGUGUGUGAAGAAGGCCUUCGGGUUGUAAAGCACUUUCAGUUGUGAGGAAAAGUUAGUAGUUAAUACCUGCUAGCCGUGACGUUAACAACAGAAGAAGCACCGGCUAACUCCGUGCCAGCAGCCGCGGUAAUACGGAGGGUGCGAGCGUUAAUCGGAAUUACUGGGCGUAAAGCGCACGCAGGCGGUUUGUUAAGCUAGAUGUGAAAGCCCCGGGCUCAACCUGGGAUGGUCAUUUAGAACUGGCAGACUAGAGUCUUGGAGAGGGGAGUGGAAUUCCAGGUGUAGCGGUGAAAUGCGUAGAUAUCUGGAGGAACAUCAGUGGCGAAGGCGACUCCCUGGCCAAAGACUGACGCU
rnacentral:rRNA from 1 species